AGUCUACAUGAAAAGGAUGGUUUCUUGGAGCUUCCACAAACUUAAAACCAUGAAACAUCUAUUAUUGCUACUAUUGUGUGUUUUUCUAGUUAAGUCCCAAGGUGUCAACGACAAUGAGGAGGGUUUCUUCAGUGCCCGUGGUCAUCGACCCCUUGACAAGAAGAGAGAAGAGGCUCCCAGCCUGAGGCCUGCCCCACCGCCCAUCAGUGGAGGUGGCUAUCGGGCUCGUCCAGCCAAAGCAGCUGCCACUCAAAAGAAAGUAGAAAGAAAAGCCCCUGAUGCUGGAGGCUGUCUUCACGCUGACCCAGACCUGGGGGUGUUGUGUCCUACAGGAUGUCAGUUGCAAGAGGCUUUGCUACAACAGGAAAGGCCAAUCAGAAAUAGUGUUGAUGAGUUAAAUAACAAUGUGGAAGCUGUUUCCCAGACCUCCUCUUCUUCCUUUCAGUACAUAUAUUUGCUGAAAGACCUGUGGCAAAAGAGGAAGAAGCAAGUAAAAGGUAGAUAUCCUUGUGCUUUCCAUUUGAUUUUCAGCUAUAAAAUUGGAACUGUUAGACUGCCACGAGAAUGCAUGGUU
rnacentral:sRNA from 1 species